AAAAAGGGGUCGAGACUAAGAGCAAAAAGCUGCGCAUCAGCUAGAGAAGGAGGAGUUGCUGCCUUCUCUUCUUCUUCAUGGAUCUCACUGAAAUAAACUGUACCGAAGGCUCCACUAACACUCCAAACUUCACCUCGUCUUCCUUUAAAAAUACAGCUUGAAGUUACUGCAAUACCAGCCCCAAAAUCCCCAUAAAACUCCAUUAUACUAGCACCAAAAUUCCCAUAAAAUUCCAUUAAAACGCAGCAGCAGUAGCUACUUAAGGAGCACAUAAAUUGUCCCUUUCACAGCCUUAUUCCUCCACUUUAAACCUACCUGAAACCUCACUUAAACUACCUCAAAAAUAGCUGUAAAAACAGCCACUAAGCCAUCUGAAAAUAUGCACCGAAUCACUGCCAAAACACCUCUUCGGACUUCUCAUACAAGCACGUGAAAGGUCCUCAAAGCAGCAAAGCUUUGAGUCAAAGUUUUCGGUCUAUCGAGAUCCAUUCGUGAAUCCCUUUCACUGCCCGUUCUUCGUUUCUUCAGUCGAGUUUGAGGAUCUGUCGAGGUCGAGUUUCCCACGAGUCAAGUUGUAAUCUUGUUGUUUUGACAAUGAGUCGAUGUUGAAAGUCACGUAACUCAAUAUCAAAGGAAAUGGCCUUAAGCUUAAUUGAAGGUUCGGUUCUCUUGUUUUUUUAUUCAAUAAUAAAUAUCAUGCUUAAUCUAUUUCUCUAGAAUAUUUAAAUAAAUUUGGAAAAUCCACUUUGUUUGAAACUUAGCUCUAGAUGUUUUGUUUGGAUAAAUUGAUCUUAUGGUCUCUAAUGAUAUAGGCUAUGUGACAGUUCAUUUUCCUUUACUUUGCAUGAUCACCGUUUGAUGAAAUGCUUUAUUAAUCAUGGUAGUUAUUUGUUCUCUUAUUUAAAUGGAAUCGUUGCUGCUUAAGCUAUUUUUGACAAUUUGUUUAUCUCGAAUUUUGUUUGAUACGCAAGGAGUUAAGUUCAUAAAAUGUAUCAGAUAUUUAUUAAAAUAAGAAUAAAAAAUAUUAGUAGAUCUUAGCCAUAAUUUUGAGUGGCAAUUGUGAUCAAGUCACUUUAAAAAUUCUUAAUGCUACUCCUUAGACUAGAGUACAUCAUUUCUUUCACAAUAAUUCCAUAAUCCAUGGUGUUGCAACAAUCUCAAAGAUUAAGAAAAUAAUUCAAAAGUGCGUAGUUGUUUUAGGCGCAUUAUUUAAAUUAAUAUCCUUAAACUCGGGUGUGCAUUUCAUGUGACCCAACUCCAAUUCUCAACAACGUUAAGUAAAAUGUGUCAUGAACCGCGAGUGCAUUUCAUGUGGCGUGGUUCAAGAUAUGUUUUAGACAACGUUAAACUUCCUAAAAUUAAAUAAAAGCGGUUUGAAAGUUAAAAAUGCACAUAGGUUUAAAAUGUAUUAAAAUCAGAUAAUAGGCCAAUAAUAAUUGUUGAGCGACCGUGCUAGAACCACGGAACCCGGAAAUGCCUAACACCUGCUCCUGGGUUAACAUAAUUUCUUACCCGGAUUUUUGUGUUCGCGGACUGUAAACAGAGUCAAUCUUUCCUCGAUUCGAGAUUUAAACCGGUGACUUGGGACACCAUAAAUUAUCCUAAGUGGCGACUCUGAAUAAAUAAAUAAAUCACGUUUCGAUUGUCACUUAAAUUGGAAAAAACUCCCUUAUACUCCCUUCCGGGGGUAGGAAAAAAGAGGUGAGAUAGCUCUGGCGACUCUGCUGGGGACAAGAACCCAGAAUCUCUGGUUCAGGUUUCAAGAAUUCGAGCUUAGAAUAAUUGUUAUAUUUGGCUUUAUUUAUUAUCUGGUAUUAUUCACAUGUUUGAGCCUAAUGUGCUAAAUAUUGCUUUUUACCACUUUGAUAUUGUUGAACUAUAUAUGAAUUGUUACAAAUCCCUCCUCUCUCUGAGUCUUCUAAAUUAUUUGAGAAGUGUGCACUUUGUGUGACUUCUUUUCUGUUAGAGUCAUAUCCCAAUUUUAGAAUGAGGUUCGGACAAGUUGCAAAGCCGGUGAAACUUCUGUAUUCCCGGUACGCUGCCCCCCUCGGCUUGAGCUAUCCGCUCAGGUAAGCCAGGUCUAGAACAAAUAAACCUACGUUUUUAAACCUAGAAUAACAUAGCCUCAUGUCGGAUCCCUAGUAGGAACGUUUGUUUGCAUCACGUGCAUCUGACUUUGGGGACUCAACACAGGGGUUGGGUCCGUCUAGGACAGGUGUACCCAAAAUAACAGACCAUCUUGAUGCAUUCUAUGUACUACAUGUUGUAUUUUUUCAAUGGUAAAAGGGUCAUUUGGCGGACCAAUGAUAGUUGAGGGCAAAUGGAAAAAGAAAAAAAAAGAGAAAAAAAAGAGGUUGAAGUAUAAAAAUGAAGCAAGUNNNNNNNNNNNNNNNNNNNNNNNNNNNNNNNNNNNNNNNNNNNNNNNNNNNNNNNNNNNNNNNNNNNNNNNNNNNNNNNNNNNNNNNNNNNNNNNNNNNNNNNNNNNNNNNNNNNNNNNNNNNNNNNNNNNNNNNNNNNNNNNCUUGCACACCUUUUCAAAAAAAAACAAAAAAAAUUGAAAAUGAAAAAAAAAUCCAAAAAAAAAGUUUGCAUUUUCCCUGUCAUUUUUUCUAAAAAAAAAAAGAAAAUAAAAAAUCAAAAUAAAAAUAAAAGAAAAUCCAAAAGAUUUUUACAUGUUUCAUCAUUUUUUUCAAAACAAAAGACAAAAAUAUUUUUUUCUCUAAAUUAGUUGUUAUUUUUAUUUCUCGCCCGUAUCCAAUCUGCCCGAACUACGCAUACCUGAUUCUCGUCUUUCGGGGCGUGAUACUUAGGCAACCCACAUAGGGUCCGGUCUUGCUAGUAAAUCUUAGGUUCUUGACUUUGCGGGGUCUUAGCCAAAAUUUUGCACUUCUAGCCAUCUUUUGGCCAAAUAAGUCAUUUUGCAAAAAUAACCUCAAUCAUGUCUUGCAUGUGCCUAACAAGGAGUGUUAUUAUGUCACAUAGUGUUGGUUAAAGUUUUCUCAUACAGGUGUGGGUCUAUUUAGCGGAGUUUGAGCAUGACAGACACCCCGGGACCAUCCAGUCAGGAUCGCUCAUUCAGGAGUUGUUUAAGGAGAUUUUUUUUUGUUGAGUCUGUUUUUAUUUUAUGUCAUAUUUUACCUUCUAGUUUUGUACAGUAAUGUCGAGUCUUUUGUUAUGGUAUUGCUUAUUUUGUAUUUGAAAAAAAAAGUAUAAUAAAUCAAAAACCCCAAAAAAAAAAGAUUUUGCGUUUUUAUAUUUCUGUUAGAUAUUUUCUUUAAAAUACAUACUCUAGAAGUUCAAAAAUCUUUUGUGGUUUUUCAUUUAGGAAAUUAAUAUCUAGAACUCAAAAUAAAAAUUGCCUUUAUAUUUCCUUUCGUA
rnacentral:lncRNA from 1 species